GGGUAUAUAGCUCAGUGGUAGAGCACAUGCUUAGCAUGCAUGAGGUCAUGGGUUCAAUCCUCAGUACCUCCA
rnacentral:tRNA from 1 species